rnacentral:rRNA from 1 species
AGCAGCAGCCACGGGAAUACAGAGGGUGCGAGCGUUAAUCGGAUUUACUGGGCGUAAAGCGUGCGUAGGCGGCUUCUUAAGUCGGAUGUGAAAUCCCUGAGCUUAACUUAGGAAUUGCAUUCGAUACUGGGAAGCUAGAGUAUGGGAGAGGAUGGUAGAAUUCCAGGUGUAGCGGUGAAAUGCGUAGAGAUCUGGAGGAAUACCGAUGGCGAAGGCAGCCAUCUGGCCUAAUACUGACGCUGAGGUACGAAAGCAUGGGGAGCAAACAGGAUUAGAGACCCGCGUAGUCCCUGUCUCUUAUAC